AGGCGAGGCUCUGGCUCCAGCUGAGUUUUGUGCUUAUACCUCAGAAAAGCUGUGGUCUGGUUGGAGAGAAGUUGGACUUGGAUGUUGGUUCUGGUAAACUUGGCCUUUCCCGAUCAGUUGGACCUCGACUUAGGAACAUGUCCAGUCCUAUGGUUCUUGAACUGUGGGUCUAUGAUCGACCUGGUGUGGAUUGAGAGCACAGGAAGGAUCCAGGACAGAACUCCAGGAAGCUGUCUGCCUACAUGCCCAUUAGAUACCAACAGGAAUUAUGGACAAUCCCCUGUGUCACUCCUCCAGUUGCUGGGCCUGAACGGACAGUUCUGGCUGUUUCGGCUCACAGUGGCCCCAGUACUAUGUGCUGGAGCCAUUGAGAGAUGGUUCACAUGGUGUCCACCCGAUGAAGCAUCACCCACCCCUGGGUCCUGAAGUGCCUCUGGGACUGGGAACCCACAGAGCCCAACAGUCACCUCUGGAAACAGAACUGAGACACUACAAGGCUCAGGUUUUCACCAGCUUGAUCCCUUCAGGCUCAACAGCCUUCUCACUGACCAGCAUCUGACAGAAAUACAAACAUCAUGCCCCUGUGGUAGUCUCCUCCUGCCCCAUGCUUCCACAAGCUCUUCUGAUUUUUCCUACCAACCCAAGGGGUUCCUGGACUUUCACUUUGACUGGAUCACUGAGACGAUGCUUUGGAAA